rnacentral:rRNA from 1 species
UGGGGAAUAUUGGACAAUGGGCGCAAGCCUGAUCCAGCAAUGCCGCGUGUGUGAAGAAGGCCUUCGGGUUGUAAAGCACUUUUAUCAGGAGCGAAACGCUGUCGGCUAAUACCCGGCGGAACUGACGGUACCUGAGGAAUAAGCACCGGCUAACUUCGUGCCAGCAGCCGCGGUAAUACGAAGGGUGCAAGCGUUAAUCGGAAUUACUGGGCGUAAAGCGCGCGUAGGCGGUUUCUUAAGUCUGCUGUGAAAUCCCCGGGCUCAACCUGGGAAUGGCAGUGGAUACUGGGAGGCUAGAGUGUGUCAGAGGUGGUGGAAUUCCCGGUGUAGCGGUGAAAUGCGUAGAGAUCGGGAGGAACAUCAGUGGCGAAGGCGGCCACCUGGGACAACACUGACGCUGAGGCACGAAAGCGUGGGGAGCAAACAGGAUUAGAUACCCUGGUAGUCCACGCCCUAAACGAUGCGAACUGGAUGUUGGUCUCAACUCGGAGAUCAGUGUCGAAGCUAACGCGUUAAGUUCGCCGCCUGGGGAGU